GAAGGAUCUGGGUCCUCGGCAACUUAAACGUGUUCACAGUUAAAUCAUUGUUUAGUUUUCUUAAUUCAAAACAGUAAACUAAAGCAAAAUUAGCGAUCUAAUUACAGCUCAUUUCGACAAAUGAUAGUCCCUCAGAAAUUGUAGUUUUCGGAUGAAAACUUCUCCAAGGGAGACUACCCACAAGAGAGGUUUUGGUAAACAAAAG
rnacentral:lncRNA from 1 species